rnacentral:rRNA from 1 species
AGUGAACGCUGGCGGUAGGCCUAACACAUGCAAGUCGAACGGCAGCACAGUAAGAGCUUGCUCUUACGGGUGGCGAGUGGCGGACGGGUGAGGAAUACAUCGGAAUCUACUUUUUCGUGGGGGAUAACGUAGGGAAACUUACGCUAAUACCGCAUACGACCUACGGGUGAAAGCAGGGGAUCUUCGGACCUUGCGCGAUUGAAUGAGCCGAUGUCGGAUUAGCUAGUUGGCGGGGUAAAGGCCCACCAAGGCGACGAUCCGUAGCUGGUCUGAGAGGAUGAGCAGCCACACUGGAACUGAGACACGGUCCAGACUCCUACGGGAGGCAGCAGUGGGGAAUAUUGGACAAUGGGCGCAAGCCUGAUCCAGCCAUACCGCGUGGGUGAAGAAGGCCUUCGGGUUGUAAAGCCCUUUUGUUGGGAAAGAAAAGCAGCAGGUUAAGACCCCGCUGUUCUGACGGGACCCAAAGAAUAAGCACCGGCUAACUUCGU